GACGAACGCUGGCGGCGUGCUUAACACAUGCAAGUCGAACGGAAAGGCCCUGCUUUUGUGGGGUGCUCGAGUGGCGAACGGGUGAGUAACACGUGAGUAACCUGCCCUUGACUGUGGGAUAACUUCAGGAAACUGGGGCUAAUACCGGAUCGGAGCUCCUGCUGCAUGGUGGGGGUUGGAAAGGUUCGGCGGUUGGGGAUGGACUCGCGGCUUAUCAGCUUGUUGGGGGGGGAGUGGCGUACAAAGGCUUUGACGGGUAGCCGGCCUGAGAGGGUGACCGGCCACCAUGGGACUGCGAUACGGCCCAGACUCCUACGGGAGGCAGCAGUGGGGAAUAUUGCACAAUGGGCGGAAGCCUGAUGCAGCAACGCCGCGUGCGGGAUGACGGCCUUCGGGUUGUAAACCGCUUUCGCCUGUGACGAAGCGUGAUUGACGGUAAUGGGUAAAGAAGCACCGGCUAACUACGUG
rnacentral:rRNA from 1 species